UGGGGAAUAUUGCACAAUGGGGGUAACCCUGAUGCAGCGACGCCGCGUGAGCGAAGAAGUAUUUCGGUAUGUAAAGCUCUAUCAGCAGGGAAGAAACUGACGGUACCUGACUAAGAAGCACCGGCUAAAUACGUGCCAGCAGCCGCGGUAAUACGUAUGGUGCAAGCGUUAUCCGGAUUUACUGGGUGUAAAGGGAGCGUAGACGGAUAGGCAAGUCUGGAGUGAAAGCCCGGGGCUCAACCCCGGGACUGCUUUGGAAACUGUUUAUCUAGAGUGCUGGAGAGGUAAGUGGAAUUCCUAGUGUAGCGGUGAAAUGCGUAGAUAUUAGGAGGAACACCAGUGGCGAAGGCGGCUUACUGGACAGUAACUGACGUUGAGGCUCGAAAGCGUGGGGAGCAAACA
rnacentral:rRNA from 1 species